rnacentral:rRNA from 1 species
GACGAGGGGUCCAAGCGUUGUUCGGAAUUAUUGGGCGUAAAGCGGGUGUAGGUGGCUCUAUAAGUCAGAAGUGAAAGCCCCGAGCUUAACUUGGGAAGUGCUUUUGAUACUGUAGAGCUUGAGUGUGGGAGAGGAUCGUGGAAUUCCAGGUGUAGAGGUGAAAUUCGUAGAUAUUCGCAAGAACACCAGUGGCGAAGGCGGCUCACUGGCCCGGUACUGACGCUGAGGUGCGAAAGCGUGGGGAGCAAACAGG